rnacentral:rRNA from 1 species
CCCUUAGAUGUUCUGGGCCGCACGCGCGCUACACUGAUGCGUUCAACGAGUCUAAAACCUGCUCUGAUAGGGGUGGGUAAUCUUUUGAAUGUGCAUCGUGAUUGGGAUAGAUGAUUGCAAUUUUUCAUCUUCAACGAGGAAUGCCUAGUAAACGCAAGUCAUCAGCUUGCAUUGAUUACGUCCCUGCCCUUUGUACACACCGCCCGUCGCUCCUACCGAUUGAAUGAUCCGAUGAAUAUCAUGGAUUGAGGAUGCAAGCAGGUUCGCCUGUCUUCAUCUUCGAGAAGUGAAGUAAAUCUUAUCAUUUAGAGGAAGGAGAAGUCGUAACA